rnacentral:rRNA from 1 species
CCUACGGGAGGCAGCAGUGGGGAAUAUUGGACAAUGGGCGAAAGCCUGAUCCAGCCAUGCCGCGUGUGUGAAGAAGGUCUUCGGAUUGUAAAGCACUUUAAGUUGGGAGGAAGGGUUGUAGAUUAAUACUCUGCAAUUUUGACGUUACCGACAGAAUAAGCACCGGCUAACUCUGUGCCAGCAGCCGCGGUAAUACAGAGGGUGCAAGCGUUAAUCGGAAUUACUGGGCGUAAAGCGCGCGUAGGUGGUUUGUUAAGUUGGAUGUGAAAUCCCCGGGCUCAACCUGGGAACUGCAUUCAAAACUGACUGACUAGAGUAUGGUAGAGGGUGGUGGAAUUUCCUGUGUAGCGGUGAAAUGCGUAGAUAUAGGAAGGAACACCAGUGGCGAAGGCAACCACCUGGACUAAUACUGACACUGAGGUGCGAAAGCGUGGGGAGCAAACAGGAUUAGAUACCCUGGUAGUCCACGCCGUAAACGAUGUCAACUAGCCGUUGGAAGCCUUGAGUCUUUAGUUGGUCGCAGCUACGACAUUAAGUUAGUACCGCCGUCGGGGUAGGUACGGCCGGCGAACGGUUAAAACCGUAACAAAGUAGAAGUUAGUACGGCGUGAGACGUCGACCGACGGACGACGACGAGGGAGGUUAGG